rnacentral:rRNA from 1 species
CAAUAGCGUAUAUUAAUGUUGUUGCAGUUAAAAAGCUCGUAGUUGGAUUUCUGGUGGGAGCGGCCGGUCCGCCGUAAGGUGUGUACUUGGUUGUCCCCUGUCAUCCUUGUGGGAACUGCUCUGGCAUUAAGUUGUCGGGGUUAGGGAACACAUCGUUUACUGUGAAAAAAUUAGAGUGUUUAAAGCAGGCUUAUGCCGUUGAAUACAUUAGCAUGGAAUAAUAAGAUAGGACUUUGGCGUCUAUUUUGUUGGUUUGCACACCAAGGUAAUGAUUAAUAGGGAUAGUUGGGGGUAUUCGUAUUUAAUUGUCAGAGGUGAAAUUCUUGGAUUUAUGAAAGACGAACUUCUGCGAAAGCAUUUACCAAAGAUGUUUUCAUUAA